rnacentral:rRNA from 1 species
UACGAAGGGUGCAAGCGUUAAUCGGAAUUACUGGGCGUAAAGCGCACGUAGGCGGCUUUUCAAGUCAGGGGUGAAAGCCCGGGGCUCAACCCCGGAAUUGCCCUUGAAACUGGAAGGCUAGAAUCACGGAGAGGUGGGUGGAAUUCCGAGUGUAGAGGUGAAAUUCGUAGAUAUUCGGAAGAACACCAGUGGCGAAGGCGACUGACUGGACAAGUAUUGACGCUGAGGUGCGAAAGCGUGGGGAGCAAACAGG